UGGAAAAACUUUAAAUACGACCGCAUGGUUUCGUACUUUUUUUUUAAUUUUAGCACCAUGUGGUUUAAUAAAGUGUAUCACUUUAGUAACUGUAGUUUUAGAUUUUUCUUUUUAUUAUCCCUUCACUAAUUAUUUUUUGCUAAAUCAGUAACAAAAUUAAAACUAAAAGGUAUUAAAGUGAAUAUUCGAUAAAUCUAGAUAGGUGUAUCUGAAGUGUUUUGUAUAUAAUUUAACGAAAUGUUAACGGAGAAGCUGAUGAAAAGAGAAACAUGAAAUUACAGAGUACUAAAUUGAUAUACUUUAAACCAUAGGUACUAAUGUGAGAAUGUGUGAAACUACAAAAAUAAUAUUUGAAGUUUAUUUUUUAUUUAUUUAUUUAUUUAUUUAUUUUUGAAUAAACUACCGGGUUCAUACGGAGGAUCGAAGCCCAACCUUUGAGUCCAAGAUCUACAGUUAUAGGGCCUAUUUAUUUUACCAAAAAUAAAGUUUAUAUUAAAAAUAAAGAAAUAAUUGCAUAUAGUUCGCUGAAAAGAUAGUAAAUAAUAAAUAAAUCUCUAUAAAACUUAAGUUAUCAAAUUUGUCCCUUCAAAAAUCCUUCCGUCUGUAAAUAUAUUCUUUUGUUGCCAAAAUCUAGAUAAUCAUGAGUUAAAAAAACUAGUUAGUUAAGAAAUAAAAUGACUUUUUUUUUCAUCUGUUAUAUACAUAAUUUGUAUUUCAAUGUUGAGUCUCGUCGUCUUUCUCACCCUUUUCUUUUUAUCCAUGGCGGUGGCAAGAUCUAUAGCAGCAGCGAUGUUGAAGGCAAGGCCCUCGAUUGAGGCAAAAAUAAGGUACGCCGCACGUGCCACGACGAAGGCUAGGAAAGAGAGAAAAAAAUUAGUUUUUUAAAUGGACAAAUUUAUAAGUGCAAAAUAGUUAUUUUGUGUAUCAAUCAUUAAAAAAAAUAAAGGUGAAUCAAACGGCAUGAUAUAUAUGAAUGAAUUAGAAUUUUUGGAGGGAUAUAUUUGUAAAUCGGAGAGUUUUUAAAAAGAUAAAUUUGAUAACUUAAGUUUUGUAGGAAUAUAUUUACUAUUUGAUACUUUUGCAAGGAUCUGUAUAAAAUUAACCCUAAAAUAAAUUUGAGGUGAACUAGUGCUCAAUUAAAAAAGUAUUUUUUUUG
rnacentral:lncRNA from 1 species